AUUUAAAUAGUUUAAUUAAAAUAUUGGUUUGUGGAACUAAAGAUAUAUUUGUUAUUUUAAAUA
rnacentral:tRNA from 1 species